rnacentral:rRNA from 1 species
GACGAACGCUGGCGGCGUGCCUAAUACAUGCAAGUCGAGCAGCGGCGGACGGGUGAGUAACACGUGAGUAACCUGCCCUCCACUUUGGGAUAACUCCGAGAAAUCGGGGCUAAUACUGAAUAGUGGGGGAUGGGCUCGCGGCCUAUCAGUUUGUUGGUGGGGUAGUGGUCACCAAGGGGUGACGGAUAGCCGGCCUGAGAGGGCGACCGGCCACACUGGGACUGCGAGACGGCCCAGACUCCUACGGGAGGCAGCAGGGGGGAAUAUUGCACAAUGGGGGAAAGCCUGAUGCAGCGACGCCGCGUGGGGGAUGACGGCCUUCGGGUUGUAAACCUCUUUCAGCAAGGAAGCGGUACUUGCAGAAGAAGCGCCGGCUAACUACGUGCCAGCAGCCGCGGUAAUAC